rnacentral:tRNA from 2 species
GCGGGCGUGGCGAAAUCGGUAGACGCACGAGACUUAAAAUCUUGCGGGGCAACCCGUGCCGGUUCGAGUCCGGCCGUCCGCACCA